rnacentral:rRNA from 1 species
UGGGGAAUUUUGGACAAUGGGGGCAACCCUGAUCCAGCAAUGCCGCGUGUGAAGAAGGCCUUCGGGUUGUAAAGCACUUUUGUUCGGGAAGAAAUCCCUUGGGCUAAUACCCCGGGGGGAUGACGGUACCGGAAGAAUAAGCACCGGCUAACUACGUGCCAGCAGCCGCGGUAAUACGUAGGGUGCAAGCGUUAAUCGGAAUUACUGGGCGUAAAGCGUGCGCAGGCGGUUGUGCAAGACAGAUGUGAAAUCCCCGGGCUGAACCUGGGAACUGCAUUGUUGACUGGACGGCUAGAGUGUGUCAGAGGGGGAUAGAAUUCCACGUGUAGCGAUGAAAUGCGUAGAUAUGUGGAGGAAUACCGAUGGCGAAGGCAGACCCCUGGGAUAACACUGACGAUCAUGCACGAGAGCGUGGGGAGCAAACA